GCACCUGACAUUUAACCGCUUGACUGCCACGGGUGUGCAUUGCUAACUGGCUAAUUUGCAGCAAGUCAACAUUUUUACCCCCCUUCCUUUUAGUUUGCAUUACAAAUACUUUUUGUUUAGUCCCCCAGUAUAUGCAGGUGCUGCUGUAUAGCCAGUCUGGCAAUGCAGACAAUUUCUAUUUUAUCCCUUAACAAUAAAUGAGAUGUUCCCUUAGAUAUGUGGAUUAGUGACAGUGGCGCAUUGCUCGGGCGAGGUAAUGUCAUUAGAUGUAUGCGCAUCAUGCAAGUGUGGUUAGUGGUUUGGCAAAUACUGAUGAGUCUGUGCUACUACACAAGUGAAAGCAUCACAGCCACAAAAUAUGUGCAUUCUAAAUACAACUUUUAUUUUAUUUUAUUGUCAACAUUGUUAAUGAUAAAAAUAGAGCCGAUUCGCAGGUAUUUUUGCAUUCGUAGCGAGGCAAUUAGAGAUCUAAUCAGGAAUACACACAAAAAAAAAUCUCCCAUGAUUAACUGCAGUACUUUGUUCAAAUUGCUACUAUAAAAUUCAGAACAAUUUGCCUGUAAUGAUUAUGGACUGGGUUUAUUUUGGGAGGUGGAAUAAAAGUGGAUAUAGCAUAAAUUAUCCUCUAAUUAUACACCAGUGUCGCCUCAAUUAUCCUCUUAUCAAAAUGGUUGUCUAACUGCAGCAUUUAGUUUCACUUCAUUUUUAUAAAAAGAACUUCAUACCUUAUUAUUAUUAAUCCAUUUAUUAUUUGCUAGGGGAUUUAUAUCUGCACAUCCAGCUGCUUGUACCAUUUCUGUUCCAAAGAUGGACUGGGUAAGACACUAAACUUUGCACAUUGGGCUAUGCUGGAUCUAGAUUAGGAUUUGGAAUCUUCUGUAGGGAGAAGAAAUUGAAGCAGGUUGGUCUUCAGGUGCCAGCAACUAAACGACCAAGUAGGAAAUCUGUGUAUGGAACGAAUGAGUAGAUCUAUACUUAUUUAAAUCCCUGAACGUUAUCAUUGGCUUGUGGAUGGAAUGUCACCAGAACUGAACAGUAUUUCUGUUUUCCUUAAGCGGAACCGUUCGAUUGUGGACAGAAUUGUUGGAUUUUAUCCCUAUUAUUUUUCUUCAUUUAAUAGAAUCCAGUUUCCUCGCUCCAGAUUCCAUGACAACGGCCGGUGAUAAAAGGGCAGACUUCUUCCCUGCUUCAUAUUUAGGAUCCGUAACUUUAGAUCUGCUGCAUGUCAACAGCCAUAUAAUUCAAUACACCUGUGUAUGAUAAAUGCUAUGUUGAUUUUUCACUUAUCGAUAAUGAGCCUUUCUAGCAAAGACUGUUAGGGAAAAUACUGUACUUAGAAACGUUUAGAAGCUCUUUGGAUAAGUGAAGGCACUCAGUUACAGAAAACAGAAAUAACAGAGUGCUUGGGAAAAAUGGCUGCUACAAAUGCAGAUAAGGGGUUACUUUUGAUAACUGGGGGCACUGCCUGUGCAGUAAACAUGUUUGGUUCAGUAGCUGUCAAAGUCACCUGCUAAAGUGUAGAACUGUUCUUCUUGGGUGAACUUUAUCAUCAAUAUAAUUGGUAUCUCUAAUGGUCAAAUAUACUGGAAAAAAGAACCCCGACUGUAGUAAUGGGAUUUGAUAUCUAGGCCCAUUUUUCUAAAAUAUAAAUGAAGACUGUUGGCAAUGAUAAAUUGUUCCAAUCGGCCGGUUUGAUUGA